ACCUUUGACCACACCCUGACUGCAGUGGGAGACAUUGUCGGGCUCAGCGGCUACCACCACUGGAGAGACAAAUGCAAGCAGUUUGAUCAGAAGUAUCUGAGCAAGCUGCUAAUGAGGAAGUCUGUGUACCGCAAGGGUGAGCUAUGGGACGCGUACUAGAAGAUCAACAUCAGAGAUGCCAUAACCAUCAUUGACCAGCACCUGUGGUUGACCCUUUGGACUGUGAGGAAGAGAAGUGUGUCGGAAAUGCGCUGUACUGGAGGUGUGUCGGAACCCUUGGCCGUUCCCUCACCCCUCACCUGCGAAGAGAAACACCUCCUCUGGAAGGAGAACAGAACCCUCCCUGUCUGCAUCUCCGUGGAGACCACCAAAAUCAUCCCCAUUGACGUACUGCAGGCUUGGAACCAGACCAUCUCCUCCCUAGAGAGCCUGGCAUUCAGUCCCCAGAGCUGCAGGAGGUGCAGCACCUCAUGCCUCCCACGCUGCCUCCUCCAGCUCCUCCCAUUCCCUCUGCUCCGGGCACAGAAAGCAGGGUCCUGCCCAACUGCGAGAGUCCAUGCUUGACUAUGACGAGCCUGGUGACAGCGCCCCCUCCUGGUGGGGACCCACCAGCUUUAGUGUCCCACUGCUGUGUUUCAGGUUCCAUUCUCACUGCUUGCACACCUGCCUUAGUCCAGUUCAGUGAAUCCACAGCAUGGCUGUUACACUUUAGUUAUGAGUUUAAAGUGUUCGCAGCUCACUCAUUCCAACAUGCCCACACUUACAAAAUGAUACCGUAUAGUGGCAACUGCAAUUCUGAUAAUUUAUACCAACACUUAAAGGAGUAAAACAGAAGAGCGAACCUGCUGUGAAAUUACAAUGCAAUAGCUGUAGAAUGUUGUGCCCUUCUACAAUAAUGAAAUCUUGACAGUAUGGUUAUAGAUCACAUCUACACACGGCAUGUUAAGUUAGGAAUGAACAAAUGAUCAGGACUAAUCACUGAGUGGAGGAGACAGAAAAAGUUGCAUAUGUGUGUGAUUUUAUUUCUCUCAUUCCUACUAACUUUCCUUGAUUUUUUGAACAAGCUUAAGCAAAUAUCUUAAGAAAUGCUUUUAAGGUAUAUCUGAAAGUAAGGUAAAUAUAUAAAUCUGUCCAGACCUCAUAUAACCCAGACUCCCUGGGCAUGUCAGCAAGAAGGGUUUUAUGAGGACCAACCCCUCCUCUAACACCCCCCCCCCCCCUUGGAAAUAUAAUAUUUGGAACAGUUUAAAGGUAGUAAAUGGCUAUGACAUGGUCCAAAUUGGAAAUCCCAACAAAACCAUAACAAAUCUGUCAGACAGAGUGCAGCUCAGCUGAGAUGCCUUCCUUUAAUAAAAUACAAUUGGCAGAGCUAGUGCACUGUAACAGAGUAGAUUAUGUGCCUGCCGUAUGGCUUUGGACUAGAAUGUGGUCCUUACAUUGUUACUGAGACAUGCAGCAGAAAUGGGGCGAAUCUCUUUCUAUUCGUUUAUAAGUAUAACCAGAAAUAGUUACUGUCAAUAAUAACUACAGCAAUGAUUCCACUUGACCUACUUUAGGUCUAUAGGUAGGGCCAAGCCUCAUGCUUAAAUCCACAGAAAAUAUGGUGCCCCCUUGAAUACAGCAUUCAGUGACUUUCAACCAACUUUUAAACCAAUACUU